UUAAACUGACACUUACCACCUAGCCUUCGCCAACGCGCGACUUGAGUCUAUUUCUCCCUUUCCCAAGUGCAAUCUCUCUGUUCUUACCGGUAUUAUUUCCCUUCGGUGCUCAUUUAUUAAGGCGCUGCUGAGCACAGUGCCAGAAAAUCUCUUUAUCGGCGUUCAAGUGUCCAGCAAUUCUGCUGUAGGCGCAGUAUUCUUCUUUCCUAUAAUAUCGGCGCAGUGACCGAGAAGAACAAUUGCAUGUCGAUCUGUCGGUCCGUGGUUCAAAUCAAACAGCGAUUUGUUUACGAAAUUCUUGCAAAUUCUUUUACGAUUCCUGCUGCGGACACGGGCGACGGUAGUGGACUACAGGGACAGCGGUUAAGUUUAAGGGGAAAAAUUGCUCAGUAUAACAGAGACUGACUUACAGAAGGAGGCAUGAUUUACUUUGCAAUUGCGUUAUUUCUUGCCUUCGUUUCUGCUCACCAAACACAACAUGCUCCGCUUAUUCAAGAAGAGUACCCCGGCUGCUUUAGAAAACCUGUGUUUGUUAACACAAGUCACUGCAUUGUGAGUAAAAGUGUCCAGCUGCCAGAUGGUGGAAGUGCAACAUUUCACCGACCCUGCAUCAAGCUGACAUGCAAUGUCACCGCAAAACAACUGACCGA